UACGAAGGGGGGCUAGCGUUGCUCGGAAUCACUGGGCGUAAAGCGCACGUAGGCGGCUUUCUAAGUCAGGGGUGAAAUCCUGGAGCUCAACUCCAGAACUGCCUUUGAUACUGGCGACCUUGAGUCCGGGAGAGGUGAGUGGAACUGCGAGUGUAGAGGUGAAAUUCGUAGAUAUUCGCAAGAACACCAGUGGCGAAGGCGGCUCACUGGCCCGGUACUGACGCUGAGGUGCGAAAGCGUGGGGAGCAA
rnacentral:rRNA from 1 species